AGCACAAUGGAUGGGACACAGAUUGUUGGUGCUCAGCUUCAGAUGAAGAUGCAUAGAAGGAUUAACAUUUGCACUGAAUUUGGAAGUCACAGAGAUGACUGACAUGUAGGAAAGGAAGGAUAUAAGAUCAGUCUUCAAACUACAAAGUCAACUAAAACUACUAAGGACUCAUCAUUUCAGGGACUAGUGAG